rnacentral:rRNA from 1 species
AAUAGAUACCCGGGUAGUCCACGCCGUAAACGAUGAAUACUAGGUGUAGGGGUUGUCAUGACCUCUGUGCCGCCGCUAACGCAUUAAGUAUUCCGCCUGGGGAGUACGGUCGCAAGAUUAAAACUCAAAGGAAUUGACGGGGGCCCGCACAAGCAGCGGAGCAUGUGGUUUAAUUCGAAGCAACGCGAAGAACCUUACCUAGACUUGACAUCUCCUGAAUUACCCUUAAUCGGGGAAGUUCCUUCGGGAACAGGAAGACAGGUGGUGCAUGGUUGUCGUCAGCUCGUGUCGUGAGAUGUUGGGUUAAGUCCCGCAACGAGCGCAACCCUUAUUGUUAGUUGCUACCAUUUAGUUGAGCACUCUAGCGAGACUGCCCGGGUUAACCGGGAGGAAGGUGGGGAUGACGUCAAAUCAUCAUGCCCCUUAUGUCUAGGGCUACACACGUGCUACAAUGGCCGGUACAAAGAGAUGCAAUACCGCAAGGUGGAGCUAAAACUAUAAAACCGGUCUCAGUUCGGAUUGCAGGCUGAAACUCGCCUGCA